AGGUCACCUAUGAUGUCCCGAACGAUGCAAACUUUAAGCAUCGGUUGAUGACCUGGGCCUACGAUCAUUGGAGGGGUUUCAAGACAUCAUUAGCUAAAAGAUUUACGCAUGUCGAGAUGUCAAAAGGGUAGCCUUGGCCUGAUCCUUGUGUCAAGUAUACAUUUUUAAAACCAGAUACUUUUGAUGAAUUCUUUAGGCUUAGGACUACGCCAAAUGCUAUGGAAAGAAGGAGAAAGGCUCAAGAAAUUAGAAGGAUCAAUAAUUGUCCUUAAACGAAAUCUUGUGGUGAUUAUGCGUUGACCGAUAAAGAAUUGAUAGAUGCUAAGAGGAGGAAGAGGGAAGAACAAGCUCAAUCUGAUCCUUCUAUUUUGCUGUCUCUACUAUCUCCAAUAUAUCACGAUGAGAGAUGGAUCCAUGCUUACCAAAAGAAGGAUGGGUCCUUUUCAAGCAAGCAUGAUGAGCUUAAGCAAAAACAAUCCGAUGGAUUAUUCAUUCCAGAAGGAAGAAAUGACAUCCUAACCAUUGCUACGAGGAAACUAGAUCAUCUUGGACGUGUUAGGGGAUUUGUAUCAGAGGUGAGCAUAAGAGAUGUAUUUAGACCACCUUGUCAAUCCCAUUCUUCAGGACUCGUGACUAGAGAAGAGAUGAAUGCGCUAUUGGCUUAGUCAAGGGAAGAGGCAAGGACAGAGGCAAAGGCUACCCUUAAAGCUAGGUGGUAAAAGAUGAAGGAGGAAAUAGUAAUGAUGGUGAACUCAAAUAAGGAUCUAAGUGUCUCGAUAUCCCACUCUCUAGCUUGUCAUCUAAGUACUAAAGGGAGUAACAUUGUUUUGAUUCCUUCAAAGGAUGACCCGGCCCCUGAGCUUGAUAAGCUAUGCUUCUUAUAUGUGGAUGAUCUGGAGAGACGCUUAGUAGCAUGAGGUCGGAUCCACGAGCGGUCAAAAUGCCACUUUCAAGAAGUUUAAGAAGAUGUUAAAAUCCAUAGAUAUACUAUCCUACUUCUACUUCAGUAUCUCUAGUGGUUGUAAGGUUCUUGCUAGUCUCUAAUGCUCAAUUUUAACCUUUUGACAAAUUAAACACUGAGGAACAAAAUCUAUAACAUCCCUUUUC